UCUCAAGCAUUAACCUUCAACCUGAUGGCUUCCACACACAAAAAGUCUCCUGCCAUGAUGCUUUUUUUGUUGACCUUUCUUUGCAUCACUAUGGUCCCUAUUUUAGGUACGAAAGCUUUCUUUCAUUUUUAGUUAUCUUUACAACUCUCAAUUAUGUUACAUGGACAAAAUGUAUUGAUUCAAUGUAUUUAUGUACAGCUCUUGAGCCAAUAUAUAAAAUUUCUUCAAAAUUGUGCUUUGGAGAUUGUAACCAGGAUUGUACAGUACUUUGUAGAAAACUUAGCUAUCCAAAUGGUGCUUGUGAAAAAAAAUCAUGUUGCUGUCAUAAUUAGUUAAUACAUGCAUGUCCCUGUAUGUUAAGUACCUGGGUGAUUAUUCCGAAGACAUGUGGGUUAAUAAUUGUUAUUUGUAAUAAACCAUUUCUUCGGAUCUUGCUAAUAAAGUUAAAUAAACG
rnacentral:lncRNA from 1 species